AUGAACAAGCAGAUCCUCACAAACCUUUCUCUGAAGAUAAAUGUCAAGGUUGGGGGAAGGAACACUGUGCCGACUGAUGCAGUGUCAAGGUGCAUGCCUCUGGUCACUGACAGGCCGACGAUCAUAUUCGGCGCCGAUGUCACCCACCCCCAUCCUGGUGAAGACAGCAGCCCUUCCAUUGUUGUAGUUGUGGCCUCCCAAGAUUGGCCUGAGGUGACCAAGUAUGCUGGCCUAGUGUCUGCUCAGGCUCACAUGCAGGAACUGAUAGAGGAUCUGUACAAUGUCACCCAUGAUCCUCAGAGAGGAACCAUCCAUGGUGGCAUGAUCAGGGAGCUUCUUAUAUCCUUCAAAAGAUCAACUGGAGAAAAGCCUCAGAGGAUACUAUUCUUUCGGGAUGGUGUGAGUGAAGGCCAGUUCUACCAAGUCCUGCUGCACGAGCUCGACGCCAUUUGA
rnacentral:rRNA from 1 species